GGAGAAAAGCAUCUCGAGUGGCUUCACUUUCCCUUUCGACUCUAGCCCACCAAUCUUCGCUUCCCUCAAUGGUAAGCAGAUUCCCUUUUGCACUGUCUGAGUUGAGAGGAAGCUUCUUUAGUUCUUCAGAGUCAUCUAUAUGAAUAAGUUUCAGACAUGGGAAGGGUAGGGCAUCCUAAUAUCUGCUCUUCAAUUCCGGUAGAAACUCUAACUCAAGUGUUUCAAGCUUCAAAAUGGUUUAAGGUAUGGAAUUUCAAUUACACUUGCAACUUCACUAAAUUUUCCCUCAUUCAAUAUUUCUUCCAUUUUGUCACACCCAAAUAUAUCAAGCCGCAUCUCUCAAUUUCUCACACUUAAUAAUUUGAACUUCGCUCAAUGUGUGAAAGUUUGAAGUAUAAUUAGUACAUGAAGAAACCCAGGUAUGCAGCUUUUCCAUUUUCAUCUCCUCCAUAUUUUCACAUUAAUCAAAGAAUUGCAGUGUCUCUAGACGCUCCAGAUUUUCUAGACAUAAAACAUCAAAUACUUUUGGUUCUCUAAAAUCAAUAAGGAGUAGUGCUAGGGUCAAACAUCGAAACAAGUUAAAGCUCAGGAAUCUUUCUAGAGAAAACAUGCUUUUUAUCUGUACCCAUAGUACAUUCAAAUGUUGGAAACCUUUCAAUUCAUCUAUACGCUUUUCAUUACCCCCAUUCAAAAUAUUGAUAAUCUCUAUUUGUCGGUAACCACAUUCUGAGUACUUGCAACCUGGAAAAACUAGAGAUCAAAUGUUGUGGGAUUUUAAUGAGAUUGUUCAUACACCUCAAGUCCAACGCUUUUAGUUUUGUCAGCGAUUUCAACUCUAUUGGCAACUCUGAUAUAGCAGUCAAUGAUAGAUCAAGACAUUCUAGCGAAAUCAAUUUCGAAAUUCCCGUAGGCAGCGCUCGUAAUCCCAAGUUUCCUGACAAAUCCAAAACAAUUAGUUGAGGUAUAAAUUAGAAGAAACCAUCACUGGUCACUUCCAACCAAUUUUUGUAAAGAAACAAUGUUCGAAGAUUAGGGCUUUUGGGUGUUUCGUUGAGAACUUCAAUCUUAUUUUCCAUCACUGACAUUCAUUUUACACUUUUCCAUGCCUUAAUAUUUGGUUCUUCCUGCUUUUACAAAAAAAAAAAAAAACUAUUCGCAGUUGCUUCGAACUCACGUGUAAUCCAUAAAUCCAUGUCACGGAUGCACAGAUAACUUCAUACCUGGAAAACCUUUUUCACCACGAUUAUCAAAGGACUCAUCAAGAAAAGAAGUGGAUAUGCCUUUGAUAAAUUUAGCUUCUCCAACACCUUCAAUUGGAACAGAAGAAGAAACCAAAUUUAACUAUUAAUAUUUUAAUAAGGAGUUGAAAUGAUCUUUUUAAUAGAAAUACUAACUAAAAUGUUAAAAAAAAAAAAAGACAAAGGCAACCCAAGAAUAGACCUGUCCAUGGGCCUCAGGUUUUCCUUAAGUAUCUCUGUGGAAGAGGUCCUCAAAUUUGGGCUAAGGGCAAGUUGAGCCUUAAGUUUAUUGGGUCUUAUCGGAUUUUGAGACAAGUGGGGGCCAGUUGCCUAUUAGUUGGAGUUGUCUUUGAAGUUAGACCGCAUACACGAUGUGUUUCACGCCUCUAUGUUAAGACGGUAUCAGUCUGAUCCAUCUCAUAUUGUUUUAGUUGAUGAGAUUGAGGUGCAGCUGGAUUUGACUUUUGAAGAGGAACCAGUGCAGAUUCUGGAUUGAGAAGUUAAAGUCUUGAGAAGGAAUAACAUUCUUUUGGUUAAGGUUCUGUGGUGGAAUCAAGGUAUUAAGCACACCACUUGCAAGCCAAAGGACUCGGUUCGACAGCAAUAUCCGCAUCUGUUUGAGUUAGGUAAAUUUUGAGGCCAAAAUUUUUUGAAGGAAGGGAGAGUUGUAACACCCAAAAUUUUUGUUUUUGAAUUGUUAAAUCAUGUCAAGUGAAUUGAUUUGAGUUCAAUGGAUAAGUGUUUUGUUUAUGUUCCUAAGGUCCUGUGUUCAAAUCUCUUCUCUUUAAUUUUUGUUAUUUUUAUUCCAACUCUUGACUUAGAACAUCUAACAAAUCUUUAAAUUUUGGGUAAUUGUUGGCAUGAAGGAGCUUCUUGGUUUAGUGGUAAGGCUUUAGCUUACCUAGAGGUCUUAUGUUUGAAUCUUGUGCAUUCUUUUAUGCUAUUCCCUUGUUUAUUCUUUCUUCUUCCGUUUUAUUCUUAUUUUUCUUCCUUUUUCUCUACUGUUGAAAUGGGUUGUGCUAACGUCCAUUUCUAGAGUUCAUUGUUUGCUCGUAAGUGGUAAGAGGGAAUAGGAUUUGUAAUCAUAACUCCUUUCGGUGAUAUGUGUUAUCCGCUCACUUUUUGAGAAUGUUAUUUUUCGGUUUGUCGUAACAAUGGACGCCUAAUCAUUCCUAAUGUAUGAUUCUGUUAGGUGAGAAUCAAGCCGCGCAUUUUCCGCUAUCGGGUUGAGUAUCGACAGUCUUCUCUUCAAAGGGUAAGUUAUCAAAUGCUCAUAUUAGGGGUUGGUUUGUGAUAAUUUAGUUUACAAGGACUGGAUGUCUUGUGAUUUUUAGGCUGAAUGCUUUAGAAAGCAAGGGUCGAUUCUCGUUUUUAUCACUAAUCCGUAAGUUGGGUGUCGUUCUAGGUACUAGAUUUGCUGUUGUUGUGUUGGCGUCUAAAAACAAUUAGGUGUGUACCUCAAUCUUGAAAAAUAUGUGAAUGACAUAAAGCCAAAAACCAACUGUCGACGCCGCACGACCAUGUGCCAGCUCGUGUGGGCCUAUUUUCUGUAAAAUUUAGUUAGGGUCGUGUUUCGAAGUGUGUUUUGAGUGCAUACUAUAGGGUUUUCUAAGUGAUAUUCAUGUUUUUAGUAUAUGAAUAUGUGGUUAUGUCUUUGUAUGAGUAUUUUCUGAAAGCAUGUUAAUUGUAGUAAUUUUGUAUCUGUUCUGAAAAUUCUGAGUAUAUCAUUAGCAUGUUUCUGAUAUGUAAGCAUGUUUGAUCUAUAUGCAUCUGAAUAUCUGGUUAUGCUAAUUAGUACACGUGUAUUAGGGUGAGAUAAUUAUGUGACGGAAAAAGUGUUGACAGUUUAAUGAUCUGCCUUAUCUGGUGUUUUUACUAUAUACAUCUGUUAUGGCACUUAAACUGCAUUUUUGGUGGCUUGACCACCCAUAUCUGAUUUUGGCGGGUUACUGUAUUAUUUCUGACAUCUUUGACUGCACAUUUUUGUAUAGUGACAUAUGCUCACUUAUUAGUGUGUGGGGUUGGAUGGGUAUUUAUUACCAUAUAUGGUGUGUUGGGAUGGAUGGAGAUGGUAUGUAGCGGAUGGGGGUAGGAUAUGUAUCUGUUAUGUAUUAAGGGUUGCAUCGCAUGAUAUCCCAUACCAUUUGUAUCUGAUCUAAUUAUCAUGUUGCAUCGCAUAGUAUGUCAUGGUGUGUAUUCUGUACGAUUUUUGGUUUCUGUGUAAUUUUGCUAUCUAUUCUGUUUGCAUGGGCUAAGUUACACAUUGAGCUUUGUAAGCCCAACCCAUUUUUCUGACUUCUCAGGUAAUCAACAAACUUAGGAUUGGGCGGCGCGCAAGAGUUCAGAUUAAUUUCCUGGUUAAUAAAAUAAGACUAUUUAUGUUUUAAUUUAAUUUUGAACUUUUGGAAUUGUAAAUUUGUUUUUGGACUUUACUUUGCGGUUUGGUUUAUUUACGUCAGAUUUUGGUGUUUUUAUCAUUAAACUACAAAAG
rnacentral:lncRNA from 1 species